AAUAAGUGCACAUGGUGGAUGCCUUGGCGAUUACAGGCGAUGAAGGACGUGGUAGCCUGCGAUAAGCUUCGGGGAGCUGGCAAAUAAGCUUUGAUCCGGAGAUUUCCGAAUGGGGAAACCCACCGAAAGGUAUCGCAUGAUGAAUACAUAGUCAUGCGAGGCGAACCGGGUGAACUGAAACAUCUCAGUAGCUCGAGGAAAAGACAUCAACCGAGAUUCCGAAAGUAGUGGCGAGCGAAAUCGGAACAGCCGGCACGUUUUAGCAUCGAGAUUAUCAGAACAGUCUGGAAAGGCUGGCCAUAGCGGGUGAUAGCCCCGUAGACGUCAAACAGCGAAGGACUCGAGUAGGGCGGGACACGUGAAAUCCUGUCUGAACAUGGGGGGACCACCCUCCAAGCCUAAGUACUCCUCAGCGACCGAUAGCGAACAAGUACCGUGAGGGAAAGGUGAAAAGCACCCCGACAAGGGGAGUGAAACAGAUCCUGAAAUCGGAAGCCUACAAGCAGUCGGAGCCACCAAGCGUGGUGACGGCGUACCUUUUGUAUAAUGGGUCAGCGACUUAGUGUGACGAGCAAGCUUAAACCGAUAGGUGUAGGCGCAGCGAAAGCGAGUCUGAAUAGGGCGAUCGAGUUCGUGGCAUGACGACCCGAAACCAGGUGAUCUAUCCAUGAGCAGGUUGAAGGCUGGGUAACACCAGCUGGAGGACCGAACCCAUAU
rnacentral:rRNA from 1 species